CUACGGGCGGCUGCAGUGGGGAAUAUUGCACAAUGGAGGAAACUCUGAUGCAGCAACGCCGCGUGGAGGAUGACACUUUUCGGAGCGUAAACUCCUUUUAUAUAGGAAGAAGAUGACGGUACUAUAUGAAUAAGCGCCGGCUAACUCCGUGCCAGCAGCCGCGGUAAUACGGAGGGCGCAAGCGUUAAUCGGAAUCACUGGGCGUAAAGAGCGUGUAGGCGGAUUGAAAAGUCAGAAGUGAAAUCCUAUAGCUUAACUAUAGAACUGCUUCUGAAACUCUUAAUCUAGAAUGUGGGAGAGGUAGAUGGAAUUUCUGGUGUAGGGGUAAAAUCCGUAGAGAUCAGAAGGAAUACCGAUUGCGAAGGCGAUCUACUAGAACAUUAUUGACGCUGAGACGCGAAAGCGUGGGGAGCAAACAGGAUUAGAUACCCUCGUAGUC
rnacentral:rRNA from 1 species